GGGCCUGUAGUAAAGUGGCAUUACGUACCCUUCGCAUGGGUAAAGCGGCGGUCCGAUUCCGCCCAGGUCCA
rnacentral:tRNA from 1 species